rnacentral:rRNA from 1 species
UACGUAGGGUGCAAGCGUUGUCCGGAAUUAUUGGGCGUAAAGAGCUCGUAGGUGGCGGGUCACGUCGGGUGUGAAAGCCCGGGGCUUAACCCCGGGUCUGCAUUCGAUACGGGCUUGCUAGGGUCCGGCAGGGGAGACUGGAAUUCCUGGUGUAGCGGUGAAAGUGCGCAGAUAUCAGGAGGAACACCGGUGGCGAAGGCAGAUCUCUGGGCCGUAACUGACGUUGAGGAGCGAAAGCAUGGGGAGCGAACAGG